AUUGAACGCUGGCGGCAGGCCUAAUACAUGCAAGUCGAGCGAAGCGGCGGAUGGGUGAGUAACGCGUGGGUAACCUGCACUUAAGUCUGGGAUACCAUUUGGAAACAGAUACUAAUACCGGAUACUAAAGGAUGGACCUGCGAUGCAUUAGCUAGUUGGUAAGUUAACGGCUUACUAAGGAGAUGAUGCAUAGCCGAGUUGAGAGGCGGAUCGGCCGCAAUGGCACUGAGAAACGGCCCCAACUCCUACGGGAGGCAGCAGGAGGGAAUCUUCCACAAUGGACGAAGGUCUGAUGGAGCAACGCCGCGUGAGUGAAGAAGGUUUUCGGAUCGUAAAGCUCUGUUGUUGGUGAAGCGGUAAUCAACCAGAAAGUCACGGCUAACUCCGUGCCAGCCGCCGCGGUAAUAC
rnacentral:rRNA from 1 species